CCACCUCAUUCACCCAACCUUUUGUCUUGCUGAAAUGAGUGACGCGAAAUAAUUCUAUUUCACCAUCAACCAUGUCAUCCUCAAGAUAAUUAACAAAAGGUCUUGAUCCCCCACAAUGGACAUAUGGGAGCUUAGCGAAGGUCUUGAUCCCCCACAAUGGACAUAUGAUAGCUUUGUUUUUGGUAGAUUGAGUCUACAUUAAAAAAAUAUAACAGUGGAAAAUAAGAUACAUAUACAAGCAUAUUGACAACUAGUUGGACAAUUUAAAGUUCAUAAUAUGAAUAUCAUUGGACCUGGAAACUUGCGGAAUUGUAAAUGUUAUGACAAAGCCAAGCCCAAUCAUCUGGACAUAUGCCUGGAUAUGAAUGCUUAAGUGCCUCUUCAAAGGAUGGAUAAUCCAAGUAAUGAUCAUACAUCCAAUGUCUCAUAUCAUGAUAUCUCCCACCCAUAAUGUUAUUCACACAUCGACGAACAUGUGGUACGUUCAAAUCAAUCUCAAACUUUGACUGAAUUUAGGAAAAAAAAGAU
rnacentral:lncRNA from 1 species